rnacentral:rRNA from 1 species
GAUGAACGCUGGCGGCGUGCCUAAUACAUGCAAGUCGAGCGAACGGACGAGAAGCUUGCUUCUCUGAUGUUAGCGGCGGACGGGUGAGUAACACGUGGAUAACCUACCUAUAAGACUGGGAUAACUUCGGGAAACCGUAGCUAAUACCGGAUAAUAUUUUGAACCGCAUGGUUCAAAAGUGAAAGACGGUCUUGCUGUCACUUAUAGAUGGAUCCGCGCUGCAUUAGCUAGUUGGUAAGGUAACGGCUUACCAAGGCAACGAUGCAUAGCCGACCUGAGAGGGUGAUCGGCCACACUGGAACGGAGACACGGUCCAGACUCCUACGGGAGGCAGCAGUAGGGAAUCUUCCGCAACGGGCGAAAGCCUGACGGAGCAACGCCGCGUGAGUGAUGAAGGUCUUCGGAUCGUAAAACUCUGUUAUUAGGGAAGAACAUAUGUGUAAGUAACUGUGCACAUCUUGACGGUACCUAAUCAGAAAGCCACGGCUAACUACGUG